rnacentral:lncRNA from 1 species
UGCUUUUCAGAAAUCGUGUGUCCUCAGAGGAUGCACUUUCCAAAGCCUGUAACAUUCGGGCGGCCAGCAGCACGGGCACCUGCCAUCUUGCGGACACGAGCUGCCCGUCUGGUUUGUCCUCUGCGCCUCUGCAUGGGAGUGAGAUGCAGGCCAGUGAAACUGCUCUGUAGACAGGUCAGCAGAGGGAGUGGAUCAUGACAGGAGCCGGGAGACUGGCUUCUCAUUCGGGCCCUGCAGGUGACGGUGUCACCCUGUGUGUGACAAAGAACAUCACCUUUCUGCUCAAGGGCCUCUGUUUGAAAUUAGGAUCUUGGCCCGGAUCAGUGGUUCUCAAAUUUGGAUGUGCAUCAGGACCAUCUGGAGGGCUUUGGUAAAACACAACUGCCCCCACUCCACCACCACCAUAAUUUCACACUCAGCAGGUCAGAGGUGGGGCCUAAGACUGAUUCUAACAAAUUCCCAAAUGGGGCUCAUGCUGCUGACCCAGGGACAACGCUUUGAGAACCACUGGCCUAAAUAAUGACUACAGCUACUUCCAGCUGUGAGAUUUUAGAAUUUUGUUUCUAAGAAGCAGUGUAAUAUGGGAAGAAGAAAUUAAGAAAUAAAGGAGGAUUUGAGAAGACACAUGAGGCCUGGUGCAGUGGCUCACACCUGUAAUCCCAGCACUUUGGGAGGUCAGGUGGGAGGAUGGUUUGAUGCCAGGAGUUUGACACCAGCCUGGGCAACAUGGCGAGAUUUCAUCUCUACAAUAAAACUUUUUAAGAAAUUGGCAGGUGUGGUGGCAUGCACCUGUAGUCUUAGCUACUCAAAGCUGAGGUGGGAGAAUCUCUUUGAGCCUAGGAGUUCUAGGUUACAGGGAGCUAUGAUCACAACACUGCACUCCAGCCUGGGCAACACAGUGAGAACCUGUCCCUAAAAGAAGAAGGAGGAGGAGCAGGAGGAGCAGGAGAAGAACGAAGAGGAGAGGAGAAAUUUCUGAACAGUCCCCUCAAGCAACAAGCAGAUUAAUAUGGCAAGGAGGUUGGAAUGUAGCCUUUGGGGCAUUUUGAAGAAAUGGCUUUUUAGCCCAGAAAGAAGAUAAAUCUGAGAGAUUUGAGAGCUACCUUCCAAUAACUGAUGCAUCAUAUGAGAGAGUGCCUGUUUCAACCUAAGUACUACCACAGGAUUCUGAGAAGCACUCCCCACAGAAAUUGACACAUACCCCAUAGAUAGAAAUUGACACAACUUUUCUAGAGAACCACAUGGCCCUCAAUGUUAAGGCCAUUAAGAAUUCCCACAUCCUUUGGCCAGGACUUCUAAUGGAAUUUAUCUCAAAGAAGUAAUUAGAAUGUGGCAAAGAUUUUCCUACAGUGAUAUUUACAGCAGUGUUGUUUAUAAUAUUGAAAAAUUAGAAACAGCCUAGGUAUCCAAAACUAAGAAUACCUUACACACAUUGCAAUAUAUCCAUGCCACAGAAAAUUUGGUGACCAUUAAAAAUAUUUAAUAUGUUUUCAAAGACUUUAAUGAUAUGAGAAAUGUCAGAAUGUCAGUGAAAAGAACAAGCUGCAUACAAAAUCUACAGUCAAUGUGAUUCCAAUUUUGUAAAACAUAUGCCAGCCCACACAUGCACAAAUAGGAAGAAAUAUACCAAAAUGCUAACAGUGCUCAUCACUGCAGGUUAUAUUUAUUGGGGAUGUUUUCCAGAUUAUUUUUUCUAUAUUUUUCAAAUUUUCUGCAAUGCAUAUGUGUCAUCUUUAUAAUCGGAGAAAAGUACUAAACAUAUUUGAAGAGCAGUUAUAUGCUGAAUGAGUGAUAGAUUCAGGGAUGACUUGAAGCUGGAACUGCUCAAGAACAGCUUCCCAAUGAGGUGUGACCUUCUCUCUGGGAGUGUCCAGGUCUGCACUGGGUGGGGGGGUUGAACAAGAGAGAGGCUAAGUGUGAGAAAGGAUGGGAUGAAAAGGAAAAUGACUUUUACUGAGCAUCUGCUACAGAUUGGUUUCUAUGCUGCAAAGCUGAGAUUAAAAAUCAAAAUAAGUUCUGCAAUGAACUAAAGCUGGUAAGAGUUGGAGCUGAGACCCGAAUCCAGGACUUCCUGGCUCUGGAGCACAAAUUUGAAGCAGCCUUCUUCACCUGCAGGAGCCAGGCCUGCAUCAGUCACCUGUUUAUAAGGCCAGCAAGUCUGAUCACCUCUUGCAAUCAACAAACAGGUUGCCUGAACUCAUCUGCCCCUUGGCUGCUAGACUGAGCUACUCUGCAGUUUCAGGGCCACAACAGAUACUGACCAUAAGAGUCUAAUCUCAGACACGGUUUAAACAUAGAUGGCCCAAGGAACACCAUCUGAGAGCUGAGGGGAGCCCAAAAUGUCUCCCUGCCUCAGCCCCAGGUUUCCAUGGAGGCAGAAGGAAGAUAAGGUUGGAGAAGCAGCUGCCUAAAUGACCUGUGGGCCUGAAUAUGAGGGGUGCCCAGCCCCCAGGGACACCCCACUUCUUGUGCACUUUCAAAGAGUUUUCAAGGUGGAAGAAAGCAGAGUUGACUGGGGUUGCGGACUAAGCUGACACAAGUAGGGUGGGGACAGUGUGGCAGGCUCCAGCAAGCACCAGAUCAGUACCUUCAGCCCUAGUACUUCUCAGCUAACUAGUGGUAAAGGUGGGCCUGGGCCCCAGGACCUUAUGGAAAUAGACAUGAAGGUCCAUUUGGAUGGAUGGACUGAGUUUUAAAAGCCUCUGCUUUUGCUAAUGGAUGGUAAAGCCCAUAUGCUGUUGCACCCUCUCCCAGCCUCUCUUCACAGGGACCUACAGACUCCUCCACCAGAACCCUCCCCAGCAGACAGCAACUCCCCUUCAGUUGGUCUGUGGGCACUCGAAGCUGUGUGCAACCAGGCCAAUGAGGUCGGUGAGGCUAUGGAGGACGGCCUUGAGAAAAACCAAGCCAGGACAUCUGGGAUCAAGAAGACAGAACACAAUACAACAGCUGGAAGGAAUGGAGAAAUGUACAGAUAAAGCAAAAUAAUCAGGAUAUGAGAUCUCAUUCCACUCCCAGUUAAUCAUCUGGAAGCUGUAUUCAAGGCUGCACAUUAACUUCAUGAAUACGCCACAGACACCUCAAGUGCAAGAGGUUUAAAGCCAAACCCCAUGUUUUAACCACCCAAUAUGUUUCCUUCCUGUGUUCCCAAUUUCAGAAAAAGCCUCAGUUACGACUUUCUGAGCCUUAGUUUUUCAACCCACAAAAUGGAGGGAGCAAUGCCUGCUCUGUCUACCUGGGCUGCCAGAGUCAGGUGAGAACCCAGACACAAACACACAUUGGAAAAUAACAACUGUGAGGAAGAUGGAGACCAGAGCAUGCUCACUCACUGCCAACAUUGUUCACCUGGUUAUUGACUCUCAAAGGAGGGACCCCAUCUCACAUGAGCAUGUGAUGGCACCAUGCAAAUUGCAAUGGGCUGCACCAGCAAGAGAAUGACAAACCAACAAGGCCGGCACCAUAUGACAAGAGCACCAGAGACUUCCUUCAGAUGCUAUGCACAGCCAUUUCCACAGAGACCUAUUAGAGACUAAAACUGAAUUUUUAGUAUGAAACAAGGGACUGACAAUGACAGCAGGAAUUUUCAGCAAGAAGGGAAAGGAGAACAACACAUAGCAUGCUUGAGGGAGGGCUAAUUGGAGUAAGCAGGGAUGUGGUUAAAAGGGGAGGACCUCAGAGGUAAUCAUCUAUAUCCCUUAUUUCCCAGUGGAACCAUUUAAACUGAGAGAGGAUGUGGAGGUUAGCCUCCAGCAUGGCUCCCAGUGAUCCCCACCUCCUGGAAAUUAUAUCCUUGUGUAGUCUCCUCCCAGACUGAAUAGGGGUGACCUGGAGAACCAAUAGGGUAUUGAGGUGAUCACAGUGUUUGACUUCUGCACCUAUGUCAUAAAGCGCAUGAUGACAUCUGCCUUGGAUCACUCACUCUGUGGGAAGCCAGCUUCCCUGUGGUGAGGACACUCAAACAGUCUUAGGAAGAAGCUUCCAUGGAGAGUAACUGCAGCCUCCUGACAACAGUCAGCAAGGAACUAAGACUUUCUGCCAACAGCCACAUGAGUGACCCAUCUUGGGAGAUGAUUCUCCAGCCCCAGUCAAACCUUCAGAUGAUGUGGUUCCAGCGAACAUCUUGAGAGCCUGUGAGCAGACUCCCAGUUACACCACUCCCAGAUUUCUGACCUAUUAUACUAUGAGAUAAUUAAUAAAUGAUUGCUGUUUUAAUUCACCCAGGUUUGGGGUUGUUUGUUAUACAUCAACAGAUAACUACUACAGAGGGUGUAUUUCAUUUCCAAUUACUUUCUGCAUUUUUACACUAUAUCCACAGUCAUUACCUCAUUUGAUUCUUAUACUUACUUAUUUUCUCUGGCUCAAAGGUUGAUAAGCUAUGUCUUGGAGAAGUUAAAUAGCAUUUCCAAAUUCACAUUAUGCAUCGUGGCAGAUCCAGGUGAGGGGCCAAGCAUUCUGACUUCUCGUGUUUUCUCUCUGCAUAUAAUCCAGAUGCUGAAAGCACAUUCUGUGGGCAGCUGCAUCCUUGAACAUUGUCUGGAGCCUGCUCUAUUUUGAAAGAACUCUUUGCUGCAUGCUCUAGGGCACAGAUGGAGGCAGCAUCAUAGGUGGGUUAAGCAGUUACCUCCUCUUUGGCACAACCUGCUAAGCUAACCUGAGUACUCCCAACCAUUAUUCCACAAGCCUCUACCGAGUGCCUCCUGUAUGACAAGUGUCAUAGAACUCACAUCAACAGGAUGCAUUUCCUGGAGGCACAGUUCAAUAGAGAGCUGGGGGUGAAAAAAAAAGAGAGAAAAGAAAAAAUAAGAAAGCUAUAACAUUUGAGCUUGAAAUGUCACAGGGAGCCAAGGAAGUUGUCUGAUGGAUUGCCCUGUCAUCUCCAAGCCAAAAGAAAAAAAAUUUCAGAUCCAUCAAUUUGUUCCUGCCCUUUUAAUCCAAGCAAUACUUUACAGCAUCAGAAUGCAAAGAAAUUAUUUUCUUAGACGAAUCCUCAUGUGGACUGCUGAGCACUUAACCAGAAAACAGCAAGAGAGAACUGUAGGUUGUUCAAGUGUCUGCACAUCUGAUUGAUCCAGAUUGAAUGUACAAUAUACUGGAACACAUAUGAGAGCCUACUGGUGACAUAUGUUCAUUCAUUCAUCCAUGUGGAGUUGACAUCGCUUUGCCAUAGACAAUGAAUUUGAAGAGACACCUGUGUACAUGUGCACCAGCUGCCCAGGUUGAGGACUGCUCCUGCCUGCUCUGGACCUGCUCCUCCCUUUGGCUGGCUUUCCAAUUAGUGUAGACAUGUUCUCCCAUAUCCUAGCCUCUCUUUGGGCCACAUUUGAGGAUACCACCAACCAACCCUUGGAUCAAAUGCUUGGCUCUUGGGCUCAGACCCUGUAGGGAUAUAGCUUUAUUUGCAAAGUAGGCUGAAAGACUCCCUCUCUUGACAAGGAAAGCUGAUUGGCAGUAUGAAGAGUACACUGCAGAAGUUUUGAGGAGGACAAGCACUUACGAUGGCUUUACAGGGAUGGCUGCCCAAGUGAGAUAGAAUUUAACAUGACAAAAUGAAGGCACAGAGAAAUGAUAUAGCUUGCUCAAGGUCAUACAGAAGUGGUCGAUCUGGGAUUUGAACCCAUGUCAUCUGAUGGCAGAGCCUUCACAAGCCUGGCAUGUAUUGCUUGCUAGUGAUUCCAUAUCUACCUGUCUGUAAUUUCUGUCUAAUUCCAUUUUCUGUAGGAAUUCAAAUCAGUAAACAAAAAAUUUUUUGCAUCUUUUCAAAU